rnacentral:piRNA from 1 species
UCCUACUUCAUGUGGGGUGCCAUUCCCUCC